rnacentral:rRNA from 1 species
CCUACGGGAGGCAGCAGCAAGGAAUUUUCGUCAAUGGGCGCAAGCCUGAACGAGCAACGCCGCGUGGAGGAUGACGGCCUUCGGGUUGUAAACUCCUUUUCUAGGGGACGAUGAUGACGGUACCCUGGGAAUAAGGCUCGGCUAACUCUGUGCCAGCAGCCGCGGUAAU